UGGCGAUGUCCUGCUACUGAGACGCUUUGGCAAUUCUUUAUGGAUCUUUACUUUUAAGCUUAUGAAGACCACUGCCUUUGCCUCAGGAAUACACAAGUGGAGUUUAGAAGCUAAUUCACAUUCAUGUAAAAAUGUGAUAUUCAAAAAAACUUGUGUUUGUGACUAUGAGAGGAAAUUAGAACUUCUCAGAGAAUCAUGCGCAGUCUCUGGGCACCUGCUGACGCGUCCACCUUCUGAAGAGUCUCUUCCAGCACCUCGGUCUCCACAGUAGUGAGUUUUCCGUGAGGCUGGCAGUGGACCCUUCUCACACUGUACCGGCCAAGCCCAGUCGCCUUCUUGCUGGGCACUGAGAAGGGGCAGAGAGAGUCUCAGCAGGUCAGCGUUGCCCCAGACCCCACAUCUCUGAAGAAGUCAGCUGCAGUUGCCUUGCUCACCUGCCUCUCGGCCUCCUCCUCCUCCUCCUCCUCCUCCUCCUCCUCCUCCUCCUCCUCCUCCUCCUCCAAAUCUGGCCUCGAUUUAUCUGUGAGCACAGUCCUUGCUGCCAAGGAGCGGAACGCAUGUGACACAGGCCCUCACCAGCUGAAUAGGGAGAAAGCACAAGUAUUUCUAACAUCUACAUAAG
rnacentral:lncRNA from 1 species